rnacentral:rRNA from 2 species
UUUGAAAUCUCCGAUGCUUGCAUCGGCGAGUUGUAGUUGCGAGAAGCACUUUCUAGGCGGAUCGACGGUGCCUAAGUUGCUUGGAACGGCACGUCGCAGAGGGUGACAACCCCGUCUGUGGCGCCGCCGGCCGCCGACGAUGUGCUUUCGAAGAGUCGGGUUGUUUGGGAAUGCAGCCCAAAACGGGUGGUAAACUCCAUCUAAAGCUAAAUACUGGCGUGAGACCGAUAGCGAACAAGUACCGUGAGGGAAAGAUGAAAAGAACUUUGAAAAGAGAGUUAAAAAGUACGUGAAACCGUCGAAAGGGAAACGAAUGGACUCAGCAAUGCGCCCUCUGAGAUUCAGCCGGUGGGUGGCGGCGGCGCCGGGUUUGCGGAUCUGAAUGGACCGCGGCCUGGCGCCCGCCUCUCCCCGCCGUCGCACUUCUCUGGGGCGCGCGUCAACGUGGGUUGGGACUGGGUCUGAAAGGCGCCGGGAAGGUAGGUGUGGGCCUUCGGGUCCGUUCUGUUACAGCCCGGUUCUCUCAUGGCUCGGGCCCGACCGAGGAGCGACACGGGGCAUGCCUCCUGUGGCUAGGGUCCCGCCCUUCCGGCCGGCUGUCCAGUGCGGUGGACUGCUUGCAGUGCUCCGCGACGGCUGCCGGUCGUUGGGGUGGUGAUCUCGUACCAUG